AGGGACCGGUCAUUAUUUAUGGCGAGGGGUGGCACCGAAGAGAAAUGUUUUCCGUGUCAAAAAUUUUGCUGACCCAACCAUUAAAAAGACAAAAAUUUGAUUACCCAACCUCAAAUAUCAAUUAAAAAAUAAAUACCCACCCCUGGCCAAAAACUUAACAAACGGAUACCAUUCAGUUGUCAUACAUGUCCUUUAUCACUUCAGUGACAUGAGUUUGAUAACGGCUUGUGAAAUUUUCUGCAGUCUAAAGUUUCAUGUUGUCUGCACAUGUACUUUCUUUGGAAACACAAUUUGUUUUGUCAAACUAUGAUCAAGAUAGUGACUCUGAUUGAUUCACAUAUUGUAUUGACAAAUGACUGUUGACAUUGCUUUUCAGUCUCCAAUAUUUCAGUGGGUCAUGCUUUGAAAAUGACAAUAAAUUUUUAUUACCCAACCCUUCCCAACCCUUGAGUUGUUUUGUUUUUCAUUUACCCAACCUUUUACUCACUCAAAAUUUUGUUUACCCAACCUUUUUCUCUUCGGUGCCACCCCCCGCCAUAAAUAAUGACCGCUCCCUUAACAGCUUGUUCCAAACUUCUUACAACAACUGGGAACAAGCAGUGCGAACACAACUUGUCGACAGCUUGUGGACAGAUUUGUAACAACUUGUUUGCAGAC